rnacentral:rRNA from 1 species
AUGCACGCUGGCGGCGUGCCUAAUCCAUGCAAGUCGAGCGAACGGACGAGAAGCUUGCUUCUCUGAUGUUAGCGGCGGACGGGUGAGUAACACGUGGAUAACCUACCUAUAAGACUGGGAUAACUUCGGGAAACCGGAGCUAAUACCGGAUAAUAUUUUGAACCGCAUGGUUCAAAAGUGAAAGACGGUCUUGCUGUCACUUAUAGAUGGAUCCGCGCUGCAUUAGCUAGUUGGUAAGGUAACGGCUUACCAAGGCAACGAUGCAUAGCCGACCUGAGAGGGUGAUCGGCCACACUGGAACUGAGACACGGUCCAGACUCCUACGGGAGGCAGCAGUAGGGAAUCUUCCGCAAUGGGCGAAAGCCUGACGGAGCAACGCCGCGUGAGUGAUGAAGGUCUUAGGAUCGUAAAACUCUGUUAUUAGGGAAGAACAUAUGUGUAAGUAACUGUGCACAUCUUGACGGUACCUAAUCAGAAAGCCACGGCUAACUACGUG